rnacentral:rRNA from 1 species
AACGAACGCUGGCGGCAGGCUUAACACAUGCAAGUCGAACGCAUCGCAAGAUGAGUGUCAGACGGGUGAGUAACGCGUGGGAACAUACCCUUUUCUACGGAAUAGCUCUGGGAAACUGGAAUUAAUAGCGUAUACGCCCUACGGGGGAAAGGUUUAUCGGGGAAGGAUUGGCCCGCGUUGGAUUAGCUAGUUGGUGGGGUAAAGGCCUACCAAGGCGACGAUCCAUAGCUGGUCUGAGAGGAUGAUCAGCCACAUUGGGACUGAGACACGGCCCAAACUCCUACGGGAGGCAGCAGUGGGGAAUAUUGGACAAUGGGCGCAAGCCUGAUCCAGCCAUGCCGCGUGAGUGAUGAAGGCCUUAGGGUUGUAAAGCUCUUUCACCGAUGAAGAUAAUGACGGUAGUCGGAGAAGAAGCCCCGGCUAACUUCGCGCCAGCCGCCGCCGUAAAAC